rnacentral:tRNA from 1 species
GCCCCCAUAGCUCAGUGGAUUAGAGCAGAUCGGUUCUAACGAUAAGGUCGGAGGUUCGAAUCCUCCUGGGGGCG